GCACGUGAGUCGAGGCCGCGCACGCAGGCCGCGGCGCGCACGCAGAGUCUGCACAGCGCGCGCAGCGGCGGGCUCUUCGGCGCCGAGGUGCGGGACGUGGCGAGGGGAUCGUGGGAUUGUUUGGCAACGUCUGAAGUCUUGAAACUCUACAUCAAGGGAGAUCAAGCAGCCAUCAGUCAGCUAGAGGAUGGACCGUUUGGGUUCCUUUAGCAAUGACCCAUCUGAUAAGCCGCCCUGCAGAGGCUGCUCCUCCUACCUCACGGAACCUUACAUUAAAUGUGCUGAAUGUGGGCCCCCUCCUUUCUUCCUGUGUUUACAGUGUUUCACUCGAGGAUUUGAGUACAAGAAACAUCAGAGUGAUCACACUUACGAAAUAAUGACCUCAGACUUCCCUGUUCUUGAUCCCAGCUGGACAGCACAAGAAGAAAUGGCCCUUUUAGAAGCUGUAAUGGACUGUGGCUUUGGAAAUUGGCAGGAUGUGGCUAAUCAAAUGUGCACCAAAACCAAGGAGGAGUGUGAGAAGCAUUACAUGAAGCAUUUCAUCAAUAACCCUCUGUUUGCAUCCACCCUGCUGAACCUGAAGCAAGCUGAGGCGGCCAAAGCUGCCGACACAGCCAUUCCAUUUCACUCCGCAGAUGACCCUCCCCGGCCUGCCUUUGACUCAUUGCUGUCUCGGGACAUGGCAGGCUACAUGCCAGCGCGGGCAGAUUUCAUUGAGGAGUUUGACAAUUAUGCAGAAUGGGACUUAAGAGACAUUGAUUUUGUUGAAGACGACUCAGACAUCUUACAUGCUCUGAAGAUGGCUGUGGUGGAUAUCUAUCAUUCCAGGUUAAAAGAGAGGCAAAGAAGAAAAAAGAUUAUAAGAGAUCACGGAUUAGUCAACCUUAGGAAGUUCCGAUUAAUGGAACGGCGGUAUCCCAAGGAGGUCCAAGACCUUUAUGAAACAAUGAGGAGAUUUGCAAGGAUUGUGGGACCCGUGGAGCACGACAAGUUCAUUGAAAGCCAUGCAUUGGAAUUUGAACUCCGAAGGGAAAUCAAGAGGCUCCAAGAAUAUAGGACAGCAGGCAUUACCAAUUUUUGUAGUGCCAGGACAUAUGAUCACCUGAAGAAGACACGCGAGGAGGAGCGCCUUAAACGCACCAUGCUCUCAGAAGUUCUCCAGUACAUCCAGGACAGCAGUGCGUGCCAGCAGUGGCUCCGCCGGCAGGCUGACAUGUGCGCAGUUAGUCAGGGCCGAAGGAAGCACUCCUCUGGCAUACUUUGCCCUUCUCAUAUAUUUGUGGGCAUUUUUUGAUUCUGGGCUGAGUCCUUCUGUUCUGAUGGCUUCUAACUCAGGAAGGCGAAGUGCACCACCAUUGAACCUCACGGGUCUCCCUGGUACAGAGAAACUCAAUGAAAAGGAAAAGGAGCUCUGUCAGGUGGUGAGGUUGGUACCUGGAGCCUACUUGGAAUAUAAGUCUGCUCUAUUGAACGAGUGUCACAAGCAAGGAGGCUUGAGACUGGCACAAGCAAGGGCACUCAUCAAGAUAGACGUGAACAAAACCCGGAAAAUCUAUGACUUCCUCAUCCGAGAAGGGUACAUCACGAAAGCCUGAGACUCUGCUCCAUAGUGCAGGCCAGCGUGAAGGAAUGUGAACAGUCAGAGGGCAAUGUACACAUUCCGGAGACUUGUGUUGGAUUCUUGCUGUGAGAAGAAGGAGAGACACUGGGAGUCUAAGGAUGAUGACCGCUUUCUUCUCUGCCCUCUGUAAAGCGCUGCUUGCUGUUGUCAGGAUAGUGCGUCAGAGUGUGUGUUCGCCAAGUUAUUAUUAAACACCAGUGGGCAUUUGUUCCUAGCAGCUCUUGUAAGUCAAACAAGAACCACGGGCCCUCGCAUCAUGGCUUUGGUGGAAGGAGAAGGGACCCAGGCCACAGCAUUUCACCCCAAGAGGCCAGCUCAGAUCCAUGCACUAGAGAGUAAAGUUCCCACACUCACUCUGCCUUCCCCUCUUGCAGGCAGAUUUUAAAUGAAAGUUUUUAGAGCACAGGAAAGCCUUUUCUUCCAAGGAGUUUUUCUUUUUUUAUGCUGACAUCUUAGUUUAUGAGAUGAAGAGGUGGAGCUCUCCCCCAUGAUGGUCUGUCUGAAACUUCAUUUUAACUGUAAUGUCUAGCUUUGUACUUUGCAGUCUGGCUGUCUGAUGUGCAGUCGACUCUUGAGGAGGUGGCACCGGAUAUAAAAUGUCUCUGUUAUUUUUAGAAUUAAUGGAUUAAAAUGUUUUGCUAUUUAA